AGAGGGGAAAAGGGAAGCCUGUCCUUUAUACAGUUUUCGUGCGCACAGUUACGCAAAAGUUUGAAGAAGCUAACGGAACAUGGUACUUUUUGUUCUUCAUUCAUGAUAGUGAGUCAGUCGGUAAGUGGCCUACUGCUAAGCAUAUCCCUGUCAUUAGCACUUUGAAUCAGAUAGCUGUCACACUCUCUUCCUGCAGAGAUUGCCUUGGUUAAGUUAAUAUAGUCUGCAAGUGGUGGAAGUUGGAUUUAAAAUGCAAAUAUGUACAGUGAUUUAAAAUUUAUAGUUGAUUUUGACUUUGGGCCAGCUACUUGGGCUGACUUGCAGCAAAUCUCCACGAAUGAAGAUAUUCCCGGUGAAGUUCAGUAGUGUCUUGCUUUUAAUCAUUGAGAAUGUGGUGAAAAAAACUACAGGACUUCUAAACCUAACUAUAAAAUGUCAGAUUGAGUGUAGUACAGUCAGUUGAUAUGCUUGUGGCAUGAUUGGUAUUGUAAUUUGUGGAUUUACUAGUUACAGUUGCCUUGUAUGCACCUGUUGAAAAAAUGCACUCGAUGUCUGUCAAUACCUGUGUAAUAAAGAGUGCGUUCCAUUCAAUUUAAGAUCUUUGAAUUAUUUUGGUUCCUAAAUUCAUUUUUAUGUUUUGAAGGUGCAAUCAUCGAAAGCCUUAAGACAAUUUUCCUUGUUUGUUUGGAUUCAGGUUUGCAAGUGCUUCAAACAUCCUUAAUCUGUGAUUUUUGAGAGUGUCUGCCACUUUGGAUUCCACCCAAAUCUUCCUUCUUUGCCUCUUAUUGGUGUAUUUCUUCCCUCCAAUCCCGAACUCCUCUGUCUGCACUCCCCCCUCCCCUCUGCAGGUAUUGAAUCACUCCAGGGUUUGCUUGUCAUGGUGCCUGUAGCCCUAUGGUAUUAUCAUGUCAAUCGUUAUCUUCUACUUGAUCUUCCUGGUUCCACAGGCAGCUCAUUAUGGCCAAGCCCAUUCUUGAAGUCUUUCUUGCUAGGCUGUGAAUACUACAUUAGGAGUUGUUAGUGACAAAUCAUUACAACACAUCCUAAUCCAUUAUAUUCUUACAUGGCAAUGUUUCUUUGUCACUGUCAAUGGAAGCUGAGAGGCUUGACUCUAACCAAAAGCUAAAUAAAGACAGAUUAUUUGAUUUAAACCAGCUUAGCAAAACACAACUCAGCCAGUUUUACCUAAGUGUAAAUCAUGUAUGUGAUUUAAAAAAAAAAUUAAUUGGAACAUCUUAUUGAUUUUAUUUUAAUUGAAUGGUAAUUUCAACUUCUGUCACAAAACAACAAAGUCCUCACUUUAACUGUCGGAUAAUUGAUCUAUCUCUAUGAUGUGUCCUUCACAGAAAGUGCUCUAUCACAAGUUUCGUGGAUGAUGGACAAACCUGCAUUCACCAGGGAAUUAUUAGGUGCCUUCUCCAUAACCGUUCCCAACACUCCUGUGUUACAAGCUUAUUGAGACUGCAGGAAAUGAUGAUCGUUCUGGAUGUGACUUGCUCUAACCAAAGCUCACCUGUCUUAAUUAAGAUGGCCAAAGGCUGAGCUGGUGCACUGGUGACAACAUUGGCUUCCAUCGUUGAUGUGUACCCCUGCUGAGAGGAGGCUUCUGUGGUCUGGGUUUCCUCAAUUUCAAGUACAUUGUGUGAGCUGGGGGAGAGAAGAGGAUAAUACAGUCGCUCCUGUUACUCAAGGCAUAUUGCUUGUUCCAUAACUUAUCCCAUUGUUGGAGCAUUGUCCAGUAAUAGACCAUGUGGAAGCAUCGUCUGAUUAAGUACUCUGUGCUUACCAAGCUUUCAAAGUGCUGCAGUUAGCCAGUGAAAACGCUGCUCUUUCAAACACUGAUCAAAUGAAGACCAGAAUACCAUCGACAGAACAGCAUCCAGGGCUACAGACUGGCCAACCACCUGUUUCUCAAUGCAGGUGAGAAAGUGGGAGGAUUAGGUCUGCAUUUCUUGAGGAUAUUCAGCCUUGAAUUAGUCUUUGACGGGGCAUGCUUUGGGAUCACACAAUAGCUAUUCUGUGGGAUACAGAAUUGUUUGAGAAGGCUUCUCUUAGAAGGGGCCUGCAACGGCCUUCAAUAAAUGGACUUCUCAACAUAGAAUCAUAAAAUGGUCAAAGCACAGUCAACGUUUCGGGGUGGCACGGUGGCUCAGUGUAUAGCACUGAUGCCUCACAGCGCACCAGGGACUGGGACUGGAUU